AGAGUUUGAUCCUGGCUCAGAUUGAACGCUGGCGGCAUGCCUUACACAUGCAAGUCGAACGGCAGCACGGGAGCAAUCCUGGUGGCGAGUGGCGAACGGGUGAGUAAUAUAUCGGAACGUGCCCAGUCGUGGGGGAUAACGCAGCGAAAGCUGUGCUAAUACCGCAUACGAUCUAUGGAUGAAAGCGGGGGAUCGCAAGACCUCGCGCGAUUGGAGCGGCCGAUAUCAGAUUAGGUAGUUGGUGGGGUAAAGGCCUACCAAGCCGACGAUCUGUAGCUGGUCUGAGAGGACGACCAGCCACACUGGAACUGAGACACGGUCCAGACUCCUACGGGAGGCAGCAGUGGGGAAUUUUGGACAAUGGGCGCAAGCCUGAUCCAGCAAUGCCGCGUGCAGGAUGAAGGCCUUCGGGUUGUAAACUGCUUUUGUACGGAACGAAACGGUCCUUUCUAAUAUAAGGGGCUAAUGACGGUACCGUAAGAAUAAGCACCGGCUAACUACGUGCCAGCAGCCGCGGUAAUACGUAGGGUGCGAGCGUUAAUCGGAAUUACUGGGCGUAAAGCGUGCGCAGGCGGUUAUAUAAGACAGAUGUGAAAUCCCCGGGCUCAACCUGGGACCUGCAUUUGUGACUGUAUAGCUAGAGUACGGUAGAGGGGGAUGGAAUUCCGCGUGUAGCAGUGAAAUGCGUAGAUAUGCGGAGGAACACCGAUGGCGACGGCAAUCCCCUGGACCUGUACUGACGCUCAUGCACGAAAGCGUGGGGAGCAAACAGGAUUAGAUACCCUGGUAGUCCACGCCCUAAACGAUGUCAACUGGUUGUUGGGUCUUCACUGACUCAGUAACGAAGCUAACGCGUGAAGUUGACCGCCUGGGGAGUACGGCCGCAAGGUUGAAACUCAAGGAAUUGACGGGGACCCGCACAAGCGGUGG
rnacentral:rRNA from 1 species